rnacentral:lncRNA from 1 species
GACACAUACGCAUGCCUGUGCACACAGGGAAGCCCCCACCUGCACCCACCCAUGCACCCAUAUACCUCAUCCAUGUGCACACACACUAACACAUUUGCCCACAUGUGUAUACACUAACACAUACAUACACAGUGAUAAACCUAGGAGAAACCUAAAUUUCUUUUUCCUGAGAGAUGACUAGCUCUGAAUUCUGGGCUUCCUGGAACUCUGGCUUCAUCUCUUCACACUCAUCAUUCCACAUCAGGACAGGCCAAACUGCAUCUGAUUCCUCCAAUGGCUCAUGACCUCCUUUAUCACAGCCUGGCUCUCGAUACUCGCAUACCUAGAGCAUCUUUCCUUUCCCUCUUCAAUCUCCAGCUCCUGAUUUGAAAGGCAGCUUCCAGGGAAGCCCCCCUUGACACCCAGACAGCAUGAACCGGCUCCGCCCCCAUGCUUUCUUCAUGGGCCGUGCUUCUCUCUCCUAACUCUCAACUUGAGAUGCUAUAACUACCUGGUCAGUGGCUGGCUGUCCUCUCUCCAACCUCAGCCUCUUCAGUCUCAGCAACGGUGGGACCAUGUGUACAUCUGACUGUUCCUCCUGGUGUUGAAGGCACAACAUCAAGCUUAGCAGAGAUGCUGGGAACCCACCCUUCAAGCAGAAGCCUUCAGAUUCUUUGGUUUAAAAGCCUGAAAAACCCCAUGACAAGGCCUGGGAUUCUCUCAAGGUGGUGACAAGAUUACAAUUCUAGGAUCAGACAUGCCAAGACAGAGCCAAGAAAAACUGCAGUGCCCUUCUCAGCCAGCAUCACCGUCCCUUUACCAUAUUCUAGUAAUCUCCCACACCCUGCCUGAGGUCUCUUGGGUGCCAACUAUUUGCAAAAGACAGGAUUAGGGGCUAAGGAGAUGACUCAAUCAGGAAAGUGGUCACCAUACAAGCCUGAGAACCUGAAUACAAUCCCUGGAAACCAUAUUAAAAAGCAAACACCAAAACCUGGACAU